rnacentral:snoRNA from 1 species
AAAAUAUGAUGAAAAGUGAAAACGGCGAUGCUUGUAUUUUAUUAUUUUUGAAUUCAAAAAUAAUAAAAUAAAGUAAUGAGCGUCAAAAGUGAGUAGUUUUCAAUCUGAUAAAA